rnacentral:tRNA from 1 species
UCCAAAGUAGCUCAAUGGUGGAGCAACCGGUCGUUAACCGGUAGGUUGGAGGUUCGAGCCCUCUCUUUGGAGCCA